UGGGGAAUUUUGGACAAUGGGCGAAAGCCUGAUCCAGCAAUGCCGCGUGUGUGAAGAAGGCCUUCGGGUUGUAAAGCACUUUUGUCCGGAAAGAAAUCCUUGGCUCUAAUACAGUCGGGGGAUGACGGUACCGGAAGAAUAAGCACCGGCUAACUACGUGCCAGCAGCCGCGGUAAUACGUAGGGUGCAAGCGUUAAUCGGAAUUACUGGGCGUAAAGCGUGCGCAGGCGGUUUGCUAAGACCGAUGUGAAAUCCCCGGGCUCAACCUGGGAACUGCAUUGGUGACUGGCAGGCUAGAGUAUGGCAGAGGGGGGUAGAAUUCCACGUGUAGCAGUGAAAUGCGUAGAGAUGUGGAGGAAUACCGAUGGCGAAGGCAGCCCCCUGGGCCAAUACUGACGCUCAUGCACGAAAAGCGUGGGGGAGCAAACAGGAUUAGAUACCCCUGGGUAGUCCACGCCCUAAACGAUGUCAACUAGUUGUUGGGGGAUUCAUUUCCUUAGUAACGUAGCUAACGCGUGAAGUUGACCGCCUGGGGAGUACGGUCGCAAGAUUAAAACUUAAAUGAAUUGACGGGGUCAUAGCUGUUUCCU
rnacentral:rRNA from 1 species